GUGGGCAAUAUUGUUUUAUUUGCCUUCCUGUUUAGAAAUCAGCAGAACAGGGAGACAUCUAGGACAAGGUUGCCAGG
ensembl:miRNA aca-mir-5405 aca-mir-5405